AUGGGUGUGCUUGCAAGGCUGGAGUGGGUCCAGCCUGUGUGUGCACGGCCGGCGUGGGUCCAGCCUGUGUGUGCAUGGCUGGCGUGGGUCUGGCACGGCCAACGUGGGUCCAGGCCAUGCGUGCACAGCCGGCGUGGGUCCAGCGUGCACAUUGCACGCAAACCACCCUCCUACUUCUGCCCGGGCAGAGACGGUGCCGAUGCUGGGGGAGCCGCGGUGAUGGGGCACCGGCGGCCGUGGGUCUCCUCCGCCGGCCCGCUGCACCCGGCUGCCGUGACCCCCUUGGCGCGGACCCCGGGGCCGGGGAGCCGGGCGCGUCGCGGGCCGGAGCCGGGGAGGGAAGCGGCGCUGGGAUGGUGGGGCGCAGCGGUGCCUCCCCCUCCGCGGCAGCGGGAUGUAUGGGCCUCUUUCUCCCGGCGAGUCAAUGUGUCUUUUUGUUGUGCUGCCGGGUUGCGAUGCCUGGGAGCAGGGCGAGACAAUACGUCGCAUUGUUCCCUUUCAGCAGCAUCUGACGGCCCAGGCAGAGAGAGGCCAGUGUGCGCGGGAGGACGGAGGUGGGGGAAGGGACUUGGACAGCCCGGGCAGCCGCGGCGAUGCCGGACGCGGAGACCUGGCUGGGCCUCCGCCGCGGCCGGGCAGGAAGGGCUGGAGGGAAGGGGAGCGCCUGGGAGGAGGCAGGCAGGGAUGCUGGGGUGCCAGUGUUUGGGAGGAGGCAGGCAGGGAUGCUUGGGAGGAGGCAGGCAGGGAUGCUGGGGUGCCGGCACCCGGGAAGAGGCAGGCAGGAAUGCUGGGGUGCCGGCGCCCAGGAGGACGGGCCCAUCCUUUCCACGGGGCCCAAGGGGCUGCAAGCUUUGCCGGGCACUUGGUUUUCCCGGCUGUAGGAUGCUCCAGCGCCGCGGUGUUUGCCCCGAGCUCGCCGUGCUCUGGGUGUUUGCCCGGGGGUGGCCRGGAUGCGGGGGAAUAUGGGAGCCCAGGGGUAACACGUGCCCCCUCUCCUGCGGUGUCAUUACCUUUCGGUACCCAAACAGCCUGAGGAAGCGUCCCUGA
rnacentral:lncRNA from 1 species